rnacentral:rRNA from 1 species
GACGAACGCUGGCGGCGUGCUUAACACAUGCAAGUCGAGCGGAGCGGCGCACGGGUGAGUAACGCGUGAGUAACUGACCACCUCUCUGGGAUAAAAGUUGGAAACGGCUGCUAAUACCGGAUAGUGGGGGAUGCCUCGCGUCCUAUCAGGUGGUUGGGGGGGUAGGGGCCUACCAAGGCGAGGACGGGUCGCCGGCCUGGGAUGGCGACCGGCCCCUGUGGGCUGUGUGACUGCCCAAACUCCAACGGGGGGCAGCAGGGGGGAUGAUUGCACAGUGGGGGAACCCCUGAUUCAGCAACGCCGCGUGCGGGAUGACGGCCUUCGGGUUGUAAACCGCUUUCAGCCAUGACGCGUUAGUGGCAGAAGAAGCACCGGCUAACUCCGUGCCAGCAGCCGCGGUAAUUC